rnacentral:rRNA from 1 species
GAUGAACGCUAGCGGGAGGCUUAACACAUGCAAGUCGAGGGGCAGCACGGGGUAGCAAUACUCUGGUGGCGACCGGCAAACGGGUGAGUAACGCGUAUGUAACCUACCCUGUACAGGGGGAUAACCCGGAGAAAUUCGGACUAAUAUCCCAUAACAAUAUUCAGAGGCAUCUUUGGAUAUUUAAAGUUCCGGCGGUACGGGAUGGGCGUGCGUAACAUUAGCUAGUUGGUAAGGUAACGGCCUACCAAGGCUUUGAUGUUUAGGGGUCCUGAGAGGGUGGUCCCCCACACUGGUACUGAGACACGGACCAGACUCCUACGGGAGGCAGCAGUGAGGAAUAUUGGUCAAUGGGCGCAAGCCUGAACCAGCCAUCCCGCGUGCAGGAAGACGGCCCUAUGGGUUGUAAACUGCUUUUCCAGGGAGAGAAACUUGCGCACGUGUUGCGCAAUUGACGGUACCCUGGGAAUAAGCAUCGGCUAACUCCGUG